UGUUUUAAUUAUACUCACUCUCUCUCGUGUGUCUGGUCAUUGGGGUGUUCUUGGGACCUCCUUGAGGUGGAAACUAGGGAGGGGCGAGACUCACGACAUCUGUGGUCCGCUCCGACCUGUGACACAUACGAGGGACUGUGCUGCAUUAUGUUGGCAAGAUUGAGUGACCUACAACAUCAAAUGAGUGAGGUGAAGUCAAAAUAUAGGCAGAUUGUGGUGGAUCCAAGUGUUGAUGAGGAAGAUGGAGAAGCAGUUUGUGAAGAAUUUCCUUACCUCCAUGAUGACAUUGAUUCUUCCGAUGAAUACUGAGUGAGGAUAAAUAAUGUACUAGAUCACUAACCAUAAAACUCUGCAACCUUCUCCUAAUGCUCAGGAGUCUAUUAGAGCUUCUGCCUGUUCGAAGAAACAGUCGAGCAACAUAGAAGGACAGCAGAUUGUGAGUGUUUUGUCUUGUUUUCUCAUCAGACUAGUGUGUGAUGAUCAUUGCUAGGAAAGUUUUUUUUUUUUU